UAUAACGACUCUCGGCAACGGAUAUCUCGGCUCUUGCAUCGAUGAAGAACGUAGCGAAAUGCGAUACUUGGUGUGAAUUGCAGAAUCCCGUGAACCAUCGAGUCUUUGAACGCAAGUUGCGCCCGAAGCCAUUAGGUCGAGGGCACGUCUGCCUGGGUGUCACA
rnacentral:rRNA from 1 species